rnacentral:rRNA from 1 species
AGUUCUGGGCCGCACGCGCGCUACACUGACGGAGCCAGCGAGUACUUCCUUGGCCGAAAGGCCCGGGUAAUCUUGUUAAACUCCGUCGUGCUGGGGAUAGAGCAUUGCAAUUAUUGCUCUUCAACGAGGAAUCCCUAGUAAGCGCAAGUCAUCAGCUUGCGUUGAUUACGUCCCUGCCCUUUGUACACACCGCCCGUCGCUACUACCGAUUGAAUGGCUCAGUGAGGCGUCCGGACUGGCCCAGGGAGGUGGGCAACUACCACCCAGGGCCGGAAAGCUCUCCAAACUCGGUCAUUUAGAGGAAGUAAAAGUCGUAACAAGGUCUCCGUUGGUGAACCAGCGGAGGGAUCAUUACCGAGUUAUUCAACUCAUCAACCCUGUGAACAUACCUAAACGUUGCUUCGGCGGGAAUAGACGGCCCCGUAAAACGGGCCGCCCCCGCCAGAGGACCCUUAACUCUGUUUCUAUAAUGUUUCUUCUGAGUAAAACAAGCAAAUAAAUUAAAACUUUCAACAACGGAUCUCUUGGCUCUGGCAUCGAUGAAGAACGCAGCGAAAUGCGAUAAGUAAUGUGAAUUGCAGAAUUCAGUGAAUCAUCGAAUCUUUGAACGCACAUUGCGCCCGCCAGUAUUCUGGCGGGCAUGCCUGUUCGAGCGUCAUUACAACCCUCAGGCCCCCGGGCCUGGGGUUGGGGAA